rnacentral:lncRNA from 1 species
UAAUAUUGAGUUGGCAAAUAUUUUAAUAUUGAAAAGUUAGCGAUUUUUUUUUGAUCUAUUAUGUUUUUAAUUUUUUUAAAUAAAUUUUAAAUUUUAAUUAAUUUUUAAUAUUAAGUUGGUAAAUAUUUUGAUACUGAGAAGUUAACAAUUUUUUGAAUGUAUUAUGUUUUUAAUUUUAUUGAGAAGUUAAUGAUUUUGUCAAAUGUAUUAUAUUUUUAAAUUUACAUUUCAAAUUUUAAAUUUUAAAUAAUUAUAUAUUAUUUAAUUAAAAUUUUAUUUAUCCGCAGUGAAGCGCGGGUUUAUACUAGUAUAGAGAGAGAGAGAGAGAGUUGAGCUAGAAUACUUCCAAAAGCAUCAAGAGUUUGGUACUUUUGAGUUUUUAGCUUUUGGAUGGAGAAAUGUAAGGUUGGGGUGGUGGUAGGUGGUGAUAGGUAGAAUAGUAUUUGAUCCAAGAGGUAUUAGUAAUUAAGGAGUAGAUCCAAUGGCUAAAAAUUUAGAAGCACCAAAGGAUGGGUGCUUCUAAAACUAUUCUAGCUCAAUUCUAUAUAUAUAUAUAUAUAUAUAUAUAUAGUAAUGUUACAAUUUCAUGCUUAUACCAAAAUUUAUUCUAAAAUAUAAUUAAUGAGCCAGAUUUUAUGUAGAAUUUAAUUAUCAAAAUUAAAAGUUUAAUUGUAUAUUACAAAAUAGUUAU